GACGAACGCUGGCGGCGUGCUUAACACAUGCAAGUCGAACGGAAAGGCCCUGCUUUUGUGGGGUGCUCGAGUGGCGAACGGGUGAGUAACACGUGAGUAACCUGCCCUUGACUUUGGGAUAACUUCAGGAAACUGGGGCUAAUACCGGAUAGGAGCUCCUGCUGCAUGGUGGGGGUUGGAAAGUUUCGGCGGUUGGGGAUGGACUCGCGGCUUAUCAGCUUGUUGGUGGGGUAGUGGCUUACCAAGGCUUUGACGGGUAGCCGGCCUGAGAGGGUGACCGGCGACAUUGGGACUGAGAUACGGACCAGACUCCUACGGGAGGCAGCAGUGGGGAAUAUUGCACAAUGGGCGGAAGCCUGAUGCAGAAACGCCGCGUGCGGAAUGAAGGCCUUCGGGUUGUAAACCGAUUUCGCCUGUGACGAAGCGUGAGUGACGGUAAUGGGUAAAGAAGCACCGGCUAACUACGUG
rnacentral:rRNA from 1 species